UUCGUCAUCGCUAUCAAUCAA
rnacentral:piRNA from 1 species